rnacentral:lncRNA from 1 species
GGGUUGGGCUCAGGAGGACCCAGGCGUUGGGUUGGGCCAGGUAGGACCUUGGUGUCUGGGUCAGGUUGGAGAGGACCCAGGCAUCCGGCUUGGCCUAAGAUGGACCUAGGUGGGCUGGGGAGCACCCAGGUGUCUGGGUUGGGCUCGAGAGGACCCAGGCAUCCGGGUGGCCUCUCUCCCCCUGCAGACUCGACCGCCACCAUCUUGUGGAAAACCUUCCUGGGCCUCGGCGUGGGGCUGGGCUCCCUCCUGCUGCUGGGCACCCUCGGGUGCUGCCUGCACCGCCGGUGAGCCCCGGGGCCCAGGCGUCCGGGAGGGACCCAAGCGUCUAGGGAGAGCCAGGUGUCCACCCAGGUGUCUGGGGUGGACCCAGGUGUCCUGGAGGGACCUAGGCCUCCAGGAAGGCCCAGGUGUCCGGGAGGGACCCAAGCNNNNNNNNNNNNNNNNNNNNGGGGGCGGCGUGGGGGGAGCCGGUCGUGGAGCCAUCAGGGACCUUCUUCCUCCGCAAUAAGAAGCCCCGGACAGCUGGGUCCCCGGAGGGUCCCACCGAUGCCACCCUGAGUUACUCAUCGCUGCUCUUCCCCUCUGGCUGCUCGUCGGGGACCGGGGCCAGGUUGCGAGGGGACACCGUGGUCUACAGUGUCCUCAAGAGGAGCCAGGGGGGUGCCAAGGCCACUGAGGGGCCCGACUACGAGAACGUCCAUCCCGGCCAGAGCGAUGGGGACGGGAACCGGGAAGGGACCCUGCUCUACGCUGCCCUGGCCCUGUCCUCGCCGGGGACGCCACAGGGACGCUGCGUGGACACCAGGGAGGCCGAGGACACCGUGGAGUACGCGGCCCUGCGAGACAGGGGGAUAACGGGGACCCGGCCACCGCGAGGACACGGGGGGGGGGAUGGUGACACCGGGCCCAUAAGGACACACAAGGACAUGGGGAUGCCGGGCCACAGGGACAUAGUGGGGGAAGAGGGUCAUCAGGAUUUGGCCACCAUGGAGCGGGGAUAAGGGGACAGAUUGGGGGGGGGCACGGCCACGGGGACAUGGGGACACCAUGGGACCACAGGAGGAUGGUGACACCGGGGGCGGGUGAGCAUGACCACCAGGACCCUGCCAUCACCAGGACCUGGGACAUUAGGAUAUGGGGACAAGGCCGCUAUGGGGACACAGGGAGGUGGUGACAUGGGGACAUGGCCACCUUGGGGACCAGGGGACAAGGAUUUGGGGACAAGGGGACCAUAGGGACAUAGCCGCCAUGAGGACCUAGCGGGCAUAAGGACAUAGCUGACACGGGGACAUGGCCACCACGGGGCCAUCGGGACCCCCCCCCCCCCCCUGUGGGAACAUGCCCACCGCG